rnacentral:rRNA from 1 species
AUGAACGCUGGCGGCGUGCCUAAUACCUGCAAGUCGAGCGAACAGACGAGGAGCUUGCUCCUCUGACGUUAGCGGCGGACGGGUGAGUAACACGUGGAUAACCUACCUAUAAGACUGGGAUAACUUCGGGAAACCGGAGCUAAUACCGGAUAAUAUAUUGAACCGCAUGGUUCAAUAGUGAAAGACGGUUUUGCUGUCACUUAUAGAUGGAUCCGCGCCGCAUUAGCUAGUUGGUAAGGUAACGGCUUACCAAGGCAACGAUGCGUAGCCGACCUGAGAGGGUGAUCGGCCACACUGGAGCUGAGACACGGUCCAGACUCCUACGGGAGGCAGCAGUAGGGAAUCUUCCGCAAUGGGCGAAAGCCUGACGGAGCAACGCCGCGUGAGUGAUGAAGGUCUUCGGAUCGUAAAACUCUGUUAUUAGGGAAGAACAAAUGUGUAAGUAACUAUGCACGUCUUGACGGUACCUAAUCAGAAAGCCACGGCUAACUACGU